GGCCAGACUCCUACGGGAGGCAGCAGUGGGGAAUAUUGCACAAUGGGGGGAACCCUGAUGCAGCGACGCCGCGUGGGUGAAGGAGCACCUCGGUGCGUAAAGCCCUAUCGGCAGGGAAGAAACAGACGGUACCUGACUAAGAAGCCCCGGCUAACUACGUGCCAGCAGCCGCGGUAAUACGUAGGGGGCAAGCGUUAUCCGGAUUUACUGGGUGUAAAGGGAGCGUAGGUGGCAUGGCAAGCCAGAAGUGAAAACCCGGGGCUUAACCCCGCGGAUUGCUUUUGGAACUGUCAGGCUGGAGUGCAGGAGGGGCAGGCGGAAUUCCUGGUGUAGCGGUGAAAUGCGUAGAUAUCAGGAGGAACACCGGUGGCGAAGGCGGCCUGCUGGACUGUAACUGACACUGAGGCUCGAAAGCGUGGGGAGCAAACAGGAUUAGAUACCCGGGUACC
rnacentral:rRNA from 1 species